AUGGUCGCCCGCAACUCAUCCGCGUACGCCUCCGACCCGGUCCACCAAGCUGCCAUGGCCGUCCCCAAGUCGCCCGUGCUAGCCGCCGACCCGCUCCACCAGGCCGCCGCGUCGGGGGGAAUUGACGGCGUUCCUGGAGCGCUCCCGACCGAGCAAGGGUCUUUGACGGCGCUGCCGCCCCCGCAAGCAGCGCCGGAGAUGGCCCUGCAGCAGCGCGCCACGUACAUAACGGAGCCGCCCCCGCCGCAAGGCACGCCUGUGAUGAAGACGGCCCCGCAGCAGGGCGCGUACAUGCCCGCGCCGACGCCCCCGCAAGGGCCCCCCGUGACGCAUCUGGUGAUGCUAGGGGCAAACACGGUGGUGCCGAUUUCCCUGCGGGAGCCGGUCAUUACCGUGCCCCCACAAGGCAGACCUGUGAUGGCACCUCUGCCUUUCCCUGCCGGUCCUCCAUCCUUCAUUCAUGAUGCCGGAUACAUGAUGGGGCAAUCACUGUUGCCUGCCGGCCCUCAACCCAUGACGGGGCUGCAGCCUCCAUCCGCCGGAUACAUGAUGGGGCACCCGCUGUUGCGUGCCAGCCCUUUACCGAUGACGGCGCUGCAUCUCCCACAGGCCGUACACAUGAUGGCACGGCCGCCUUUGCCCGCUGGUCCCCCUCCUCUCAAGCGUCACCGCCCUGACUACUUCGGCAUGCCUUUUGGACCGCGGAUGACUGGUUGGGAGCAGGAAAUGCCUGGAUUUGAUGAAUCAAUGGGACUGCCUUAUGGGCCUUACAUAAACAAUGAGAUGCCUUGUAUUGGUUCUUAUGAGCCAUAUCUUCCUUCAGACGCAUCAAACACCUUACAUGUUGAAGGUUUCCCACCCAGCUGUACUAGACGGGAACUUGCACAUAUAUUUUGCCCUUUUACUGGGUUCUGUGCAGUAAGGCUGGUCAACACAGGAUAUAAUAAUCGACAUGUAAUAGCUUAUGCUGACUUUGAAACUCCUGCCCAAGCCUUCUCUGCCAUGAAGUCUCUGCAAGGUUAUUUGUUUGACAUGCAUGACCGGUACUCAGUCAAAUUGGACCUCAAGUUCCUUCCUGGUCCGUCCAAGAUCUGCUGCCUUUUGUAG
rnacentral:rRNA from 1 species